rnacentral:rRNA from 1 species
GACGAACGCUGGCGGCGUGCUUAACACAUGCAAGUCGAACGGAAAGGCCCUGCUUUGGGGGGGUGCUCGAGGGGCAAAGGGGUGAGUAACACGUGAGUAACCUGCCCUUGACUUGGGGAUAACUUCGGAAAACUGGGGCUAAUACCGGAGAGGAGCUCCUGCUGCAGGGGGGGGGUGGGAAAGUUUCGGCGGUUGGGGAUGGACUCGCGGCUUAUCAGCUUGUUGGUGGGGUAGUGGCUUACCAAGGCUUUGACGGGUAGCCGGCCUGAGAGGGUGACCGGCCACAUUGGGACUGAGAUACGGCCCAGACUCCUACGGGAGGCAGCAGUGGGGAAUAUUGCACAAUGGGCGGAAGCCUGAUGCAGCAACGCCGCGUGCGGGAUGACGGCCUUCGGGUUGUAAACCGCUUUCGCCUGUGACGAAGCGUGAGUGACGGUAAUGGGUAAAGAAGCACCGGCUAACUACGUG